ACCAUCUUAGGAUAGCAAUUGAUGCCAUUUUUUUAUUGUAAUUAUGGUUGCUAAUUUGAGAUGAAAUAAUCAUUUUUUUGGUUUAAUUAGUUAAUCUUAUUUAUUUAGUGCCCUAAUUUUUUUUGGUCAAAUAUCUAUUUGUAAUAAUGCAUAACGUCUUAGGACAAAAUAGUCCUUUCAUUAUAUCUUAUGUAAGUAAUGGGUCCAAAUUUCUAACAACGGAGGUUAGUGUAAUUUUUAAAAUCUUAGGGGAGGUCAGUGAAAGUGUCAGAAACCCGAGGGGUGGUUUCUGAAAUUAUCCCUAAGAAUAUUGCCUGAAACGAAACCCGAGGCCUCAGAACUAAUUUUCUCCACUCGCCGGUGAAUCUAAUGCGGGGAGAUCCUCCAAAUCCUUCCGAAAACCACCAAGAAAUAGUAGAAAGCCGUCAUUUUUUGAGUAUCAAAGUCGAUGUCAACAAAGUACGGGAACUAGUACCAUUCAUUAUUGUCCAUUUGAAGCCCACCACCACAUGACUGCUUCCCUCUGCUGCACCGGUCGGGAUUUCCUGACGUACAAACUCUGGAGCCUGAGGUUGUAACGGUGGGAUGCCCCGAAUGGUGGCCCAAUUUGGAUCUGGAGGGGCCUCUAAAUACAUUUCUAUUGGCCAAGCCAAUAUUGGGACAUGUCCUGUGCAGGCAAGACAUCGCCGCUCCACAACAACUUCACGGCGGAAGUCGGCUCUUUCGAUUCCGCAGUCCCCACACUCUGAUAUCUGAAACUGAACGACAGUUGAUCACAUGGGCUAGCAGUUGCAUUGUUUUGGAUUCAUCGUCAAGUUCAUGAUGACCAUACAACACGAGGAACGCAUGGAGAUGGGAGGAGUUCUGGGACUACAAGAAAGAAAAAUGGCUGAUGCCAACUGAUUCCUGAAUCUGAAGAUCCGUGAGGAUGCGAAUGAACAAGAGUUCUUGGACCCGAAUGAAAAUAGGCCCACUUGUUUUUGCUCUGAACGUCCGUGCGUAAACGUACUGUGUACGUACAUAUGGCAGCAGCCUCAAUUUGCGCCGACCACAAAAAAGACACGUUCCAACAAAGCCCGGGUGGAGAAAUGCUAGGACCGAUUAACUAAGCAAAUCUGUUGUAGAGCUGUGGUCAGAAGAUUUCGAUGAUGAUGACCUGAAUUAAGCUUAUAUUAGAUACCAUGGCCAUAAUAUUUCUUGCAGGCAAAUGAGGAAAAAGCAUAAUAGAUCACACAAAUAGAUAUGUCAA